CCUGUUAAUUUUUCUAAUUGUUACCAAAUUUGACAGAUAUAGAAAAAAAUUGAUUGUUGCAAAUAUAUUUAUGAAGUUAAUCUUAAUCAAUGAUAUUCUCAGGAACAUCCAGCUGUUAGCAAAAUCGUCCUUUUGACACUCUUUUUUCAUUAAGUUACUAAAGCUUAAAUCUGUACCGUUUUGUGAUGAUGCAUCGUUCUGGAUAAAAGCAGCAAUAUGUGUUGAGGACUAAAACUCCAAUAACGUCGAUUUCUUAUCCUGUACCUUCACCUUUAAUGACUAUUAACCCAUUAUAGGGUGUUUGCUAGACAUCCUUUGGAUAGGUUUGGAAAUUAAGAACGGAAUAUCUUUAUUAACUAAGAGAUAAUACUUAUAUUAGUUAAUGUUGAACCAAGGGGUAUGUAGUAAAAUUUUUUCAGAUAACUUGCAAUGCUAUGGACAAUUUUUUAAAGUCAAAUAGGAUCAUGACAUUGAUUAAAUCGUUGUAAAUCUUAUGCAAAUAUUGACUAAGAGAUAACACUUAAUCCUCUCCAAAAGAUUGAAACGAAAGACUUAUCGUUGCUUUUAUUCCUUAAUGGUGAACCAAGGAGUAUGUACACAAGCAGUAACAUCAUUUCAAACUACUUUCACUGUUAUGGACAACUUUAGAAAGUCAAAUAGGAUCAUGACAUUGAUUAAAUCUUAUGUAAAACAUUAUUAUGGACAACCAAGAGUUAAAUCCGAUUGAAAUGAGAUGAAAUCUUUUGCCAAAACGAUCAAAAAUGAGAAUUUUAAACCCAUUAUAUUAGAAUCGUAAAAUCUAAAAAUAUAUGUGACGUAAUAUAAACUGUGGCCAAAAUCCAAAUUUAUAGUGUAGCCAAAAACGGGAUUUUUUUCAUACUUUCUUCUCAAAUUUCUUCGAAAUAAAUUUAAAUGUUUUUGGCGUGAUCCAGUAGUACUUAAGUAAAAAGAUAAAAAAUAAGUUUUUUUAAAAAGAAUCGGCGUGAAUAUGGAAUUACGUGAAGUGCUCAAGCUUUUGCACGGGCAAUUAGACAUAUUCGAGUAGUCUUGUCUUUCAAAACACAUUUAUUCAAGUAUAAUUCAUGUAAUAAUAAACAGUCGCCUUAUUUACAAAUUUUUCGCUAACUAGACACGAGUUUCCACUGGACAAAGAAGUUACAAACUAAUUGUAAGAAGUAGUUUUUACACUUAUAGAAAAUAAAUGAAUAAAUUUAAUUAAUAUUUAUCAAUCCCACUUCGUCACCGAAGUCGCCGCUGAGUAUGGCGUUGAUUAUAUA